GGAUUGUGGCUUAGUUGUAGAGCACUCGCCUAGUGCAUUCGAGGGCCUGGGUUCGAUCCUCAGCACCA
rnacentral:tRNA from 1 species